ACGGGUGAGUAACACGUGAGUAACCUGCCCUUAACUCUGGGAUAAGCCUGGGAAACUGGGUCUAAUACCGGAUAGGAGCGUCCACCGCAUGGUGGGUGUUGGAAAGAUUUAUCGGUUUUGGAUGGACUCGCGGCCUAUCAGCUUGUUGGUGAGGUAAUGGCUCACCAAGGCGACGACGGGUAGCCGGCCUGAGAGGGUGACCGGCCACACUGGGACUGAGACACGGCCCAGACUCCUACGGGAGGCAGCAGUGGGGAAUAUUGCACAAUGGGCGCAAGCCUGAUGCAGCGACGCCGCGUGAGGGAUGACGGCCUUCGGGUUGUAAACCUCUUUCAGUAGGGAAGAAGCGAAAGUGACGGUACCUGCAGAAGAAGCACCGGCUAACUACGUGCCAGCAGCCGCGGUAAUACGUAGGGUGCGAGCGUUAUCCGGAAUUAUUGGGCGUAAAGAGCUCGUAGGCGGUUUGUCGCGUCUGUCGUGAAAGUCCGGGGCUUAACCCCGGAUCUGCGGUGGGUACGGGCAGACUAGAGUGCAGUAGGGGAGACUGGAAUUCCUGGUGUAGCGGUGGAAUGCGCAGAUAUCAGGAGGAACACCGAUGGCGAAGGCAGGUCUCUGGGCUGUAACUGACGCUGAGGAGCGAAAGCAUGGGGAGCGAACAGGAUUAGAUACCCUGGUAGUCCAUGCCGUAAACGUUGGGCACUAGGUGUGGGGACCAUUCCACGGUUUCCGCGCCGCAGCUAACGCAUUAAGUGCCCCGCCUGGG
rnacentral:rRNA from 1 species